AUUGAACGCUAGCGGGAGGCUUUACACAUGCAAGUCGAGCGAGUGGCGGACGGGUGAGUAAUGUCUGGGAAACUGCCCGAUGGAGGGGGAUAACUACUGGAAACGGUAGCUAAUACCGCAUACUAUCGGAUGUGCCCAGAUGGGAUUAGCUUGUAGGUGAGGUAAUGGCUCACCUAGGCGACGAUCCCUAGCUGGUCUGAGAGGAUGACCAGCCACACUGGGACUGAGACACGGUCCAGACUCCUACGGGAGGCAGCAGUGGGGAAUAUUGCACAAUGGGCGCAAGCCUGAUGCAGCCAUGCCGCGUGUAUGAAGAAGGCCUUCGGGUUGUAAAGUACUUUCAGCGGGGAGGCGUUACCCGCAGAAGAAGCACCGGCUAACUCCGUGCCAGCAGCCGCGGUAAUAC
rnacentral:rRNA from 1 species